rnacentral:lncRNA from 1 species
GAACAGUUGGUGUUCAGAGGCAGAGAAAUGAACUGAAUCCAGGCUCUCAGCGCUGGAUUGGAGACUUUCAGCGAGUUGACUUUUGAGCGGGCAUGGACAGUGGAUGUAUUUGCUGGAAUCAAGGGGAUUUUUUUGGUGGUAGAAAAACUGGAAGUUACUUUUCUCAUCCUCCUUGGAAGGAAGGAAAGCUCAAGUUUGUCCCUUUGCGGAUGACCUUGGAGGAGAUGAGAGUGAACCUGGAGAGGCAGAAGGGCUGAGAGAGAAACAAUGAUGGAGAGAAAAAGAGUGAACUGUGGCAGGACCGAGGAGGAGAAGGUGAGCAGCGGUGGAGUGGAGGAUGAGAAAAGAAUAUGCAGGAAAUAAACGUCAAGGAAAGAUUUUAGAAAAAAUACAUAUUUAUUUUUUAUAACGGAGCUUACAGGAGGGGAAAUUACAGGAAAUUAACACUACUUUAUACAUGUACUGUUAAAGUCUGAAUUAUUAGCCCCCUCACUGUAAAAAAUGGCCGUGAUUUCAACAGUAAAAAGCUGUAAAUAUGCUACAGUAAAACUCCGUAACCUGGUUAACAGUAUGUUUCCUUAAUAUACAUGGUGAAUAACCCUUCAUGGGAAUUCCCUUCAUGGCACAUCACUUUUUAUGCUUUUUUUACAUUAAUAUGGAUCUUUUUAGUUGUUUCCCCAUCAGUUAUGUACAUUAGAGAUUUAUGUUAUGUCUAAUGUUGAUAAACAAUGUUUAUUUCCUGACUUUAAUUUUUUGCGUGUUACCAUACUGGUGUUUAGUAGCUGUGUGAAUGACACUGAGCACCUUCUAUAAACAGAUACGCUAUUCUGCUCGUGGGAAAAGUUUUUUUGUGAUGAGCAUUGGUUCAUUAUGUAACUUUCUUAUCACCACCUGCAUAUGGCUGUGUUAACGUAUCUAUAUGUGUAACAAAAGAUGUGUACUGUAGAUGUUGGUAAUUUAAAAUACAGACAUAUUACAUAAAUAAAUGAAAUACGGUAGUUUACUGUAAACAACUGUUUUAACAGUACUGCAGCUUU